rnacentral:lncRNA from 10 species
CAAGAAUUAAAAAGGGUAUUUACUAGAGCAGAAAAUGUAACUCAUGGCAGCAUAGAGCGCAAAGGGCUCAGUUGAUGCCUCACUUGAUACCAGCAGCUGCCGAUUACCUCACUUGAUACCAGGGGCUGCUGAUUCCUUUGAGCCCCAAUCCAACAUGAUUGGUGACCUUAUAAGAAGAGGAGAAGAGACAGAGGCAGACAUACAGAGUGGGAAGAUGAUCUGAAGAUUCACAAAUGGAAUGCAAUAUGACGACAGAAGCAGAGACUGGAGUGAUGUGUCCACAAGCCGAGGAUUGCCAGCAACACCAGAAGCGAAGAGAAAGGCAUGAAACAGAUUCUCCCCUACAGCCUUCCCAGAGAGGCGGGCCCCACCCACACCUUGAUUUCAGACUUCUAGUUUCCUAACUGUGAGAAAAUAAAUUUCUGUUGUUUUAAGUCACCCAGUGUGUGGUACCUUGUUACAACAGUCUUAGAAAACGAAUACAGACUCUACUAA